UUCUGGCUCAGGAUGAACGCUAGCGGCAGGCCUAACACAUGCAAGUCGCGGGGCAGCACGGGUAGCAAUACCUGGUGGCGACCGGCGCACGGGUGCGUAACGCGUAUGCAACCUGCCCCCAUCAGGGGAAUAGCCCGCGAAAGGCGGAUUAAUGCCCCAUAGGCCCAGGGCGCCGCAUGGCGCUAUGGGUAAAGCUCCGGCGGAUGGGGAUGGGCAUGCGUGCCAUUAGCUAGUUGGGGCGGUAACGGCGCACCAAGGCGACGAUGGCUAGGGGUCUGAGAGGAUGGUCCCCCACACUGGUACUGAGACACGGACCAGACUCCUACGGGAGGCAGCAGUGAGGAAUAUUGGUCAAUGGGCGGAAGCCUGAACCAGCCAUGCCCGCGUGCAGGAUGACGGCCCUAUGGGUUGUAAACUGCUUUUCCCCGGGAAGAAUAAGCCCCUCGUGAGGGGCGAUGCCGGUACCGGGGGAAUAAGGAUCGGCUAACUCCGUGCCAGCCGCUGC
rnacentral:rRNA from 1 species